rnacentral:rRNA from 1 species
GACGAACGCUGGCGGCGUGCUUAACACAUGCAAGUCGAACGGAAAGGCCCUGCUUUUGUGGGGUGCUCGAGUGGCGAACGGGUGAGUAACACGUGAGUAACCUGCCCUUGACUUUGGGAUAACUUCAGGAAACUGGGGCUAAUACCGGAUAGGAGCUCCUGCUGCAUGGUGGGGGUUGGAAAGUUUCGGCGGUUGGGGAUGGACUCGCGGCUUAUCAGCUUGUUGGUGGGGUAGUGGCUUACCAAGGCUUUGACGGGUAGCCGGCCUGAGAGGGUGACCGGCCACAUUGGGACUGAGCUACGGCACAGACUCCUACGGGAGGCAGCAGUGGAGAAUAUUGCACAAUGGGCGGAAGCCUGAUGCAGCAACGCCGCGUGCGGGAUGACGGCCUUCGGGUUGUAAACCGCUUUCGCCUGUGACGAAGCGUGAGUGACGGUAAUGGGUAAAGAAGCACCGGCUAACUACGUG